AUUGAACGCUGGCGGCAGGCCUAACACAUGCAAGUCGAGCGAGCGGCGGACGGGUGAGUAAUGUAUGGGGACUGCCCGAUAGAGGGGGAUAACUACUGGAAACGGUAGCUAAUACCGCAUACUAUCGGAUAACCCAUAGGGGAUUAGCUAGUAGGUGGGGGAAUGGCUCACUUAGGCGACGAUCCCUAGCUGGUCUGAGAGGAUGAUCAGCCACACUGGGAUUGAGACACGGCCCAGACUCCUAAGGAGGCAGCAGUGGGGAAGAUUGCACGAAGGGCGCAAGCCUGAUGGAGCCAUGCCGCGUGGAUGAAGAAGGCCCUAGGGUUGUAAAGUACGUUCAGUCGGGAGGCGUUACCGACAGAAGAAGCACCGGCUAACUACGUGCCAGCAGCCGCGGUAAUAC
rnacentral:rRNA from 1 species